CUCGGCUGGAAGCUCUCUGCUUUGUGGAGAGCCGAGAGUCCGAAAAGUUCUGCAAGGAGGUUGAACCGGAUAGAACAGCCGCGGCUACAGGUUAACCUCGCUAAGUAGGAAUUUACCGAAGACUCGCACCGGCUUUUAAUAAUCUCAUCAGCGCGCUGUGCUUAAACAAGGUGUGUUCUGGUGUAAAGCUCCAGAGCUCCUGCACCCAGGCCCUGCUGGUGUAUAGAGGGGAACUACCAAUAAUGUGACAUCCACAUGGGCAGAAAACUUACUGAAUUCGUUUACUAACAAACAACUAUGUCUACAACAGUACUUGGGCC